GUACGCUGGCGGCACGCCUUAUACAUGCAAGUCGAACGCAGUAGCAAUACUGAGUGGCAGACGGGUGAGUAUAAUGUGGGAAUCUGCCUUUUGGUUUGGAAUAACUCGGGGAAACCUGAGCUAAUACUGGAUAAGCCCUAACGGGGAAAGCUUUAUGCGCCAAAAGAUGAGCCCGCACUUGAUUAGCUUGUUGGUGAGGUAAAAGCUCACCAAGGCAACGAUCAAUAGCUGUUCUUAGAGGAAGACCAGCCACAUUGGGACUGAGACACGGCCCAGACUCCUACGGGAGGCAGCAGUAAGGAAUCUUGCACAAUGGGGGAAACCCUGAUGCAGCGAUGCCGCGUGAGUGAAGAAGGCCUUUGGGUUGUAAAACUCUUUCGUCGGGGAAGAAAAUGACUGUACCC
rnacentral:rRNA from 1 species